CGUGGAGACAGGUGGUGCAUGGCUGUCGUCAGCUCGUGUCGUGAGAUGUUGGGUUAAGUCCCGCAACGAGCGCAACCCUCACCCCUAGUUGCCACCGGGUAAAGCCGAGCACUCGAGGGGAACUGCCAGCGUCAAGCUGGAGGAAGGCGGGGAUGACGUCGAGUCAUCAUGCCCCUUACGCCCUGGGCUACACACGUGCUACAAUGGUCAGUACAAAGGGACGCGAGACCGCGAGGUGGAGCUAAUCCCAAAAAACUGGCCUAAGUUCAGAUCGCAGUCUGCAACUCGACUGCAUGAAGGAGGAAUCGCUAGUAAUCGCGCAUCAGCCCGGCGCGGUGAAUACGUUCCCGGGCCUUGUACACACCGCCCGUCACACCACGAAAGCUGUCUGUACUCGAAGUCGCUGAG
rnacentral:rRNA from 1 species